rnacentral:rRNA from 1 species
UACGAAGGGGGCUAGCGUUGUUCGGAAUUACUGGGCGUAAAGCGCACGUAGGCGGACUACUGAGUCAGGGGUGAAAUCCCGGGGCUCAACCCCGGAACUGCCUUUGAUACUGAUAGUCUCGAGUCCGGAAGAGGUGAGUGGAAUUCCGAGUGUAGAGGUGAAAUUCGUAGAUAUUCGGAGGAACACCAGUGGCGAAGGCGGCUCACUGGUCCGGUACUGACGCUGAGGCACGAAAGCGUGGGGGAGCAAACAGGG